GCCCAUAUCAUAAUGAACAGAAAAGUAAAAGAAGAAACAUCAUCGGAGAAAAUAAUUUGUUGAAGAUGACGUCGCCGGCGUAUCCUAGCGCUGCUCGUAUCUCCGACUCUGAUUGCUUCCCUGCUUACACCGCCUCCCUUAAAUGUUUAGAAGAAUACAGCAAUGAGAAGAGUAAAUGCCAACAACAUUUUGACGUUUACAAGGAAUGCAGAAAAAAGGAGAGGGAAGCACGGCUGGAACGGAAUAGGAGUCGAUCUCUCUUUUCAUGAACAUAUUGGUACAUGAUUGACUGUAACAUUUUGGGCUUGAAUGCUCAGUUAUAUGUAUCCCACCGAUAUUUCGUCUUCUUACACUUAUGUUUAUCGCUUUCGAUAAGUUCCGGCCUUUCUAAAAGGUGGAUAGACAGAGUUCACUAUAUGGAAAGAGGAGAAUAUGAUACAUUGUGUUUGGUUUCACUUUGAUUAGGUUACUACUAUUUGCUUUUGUUUCUAUGAAGAUUGUUCAUCAUAACAUGUUAUGAUCUCUUUUAUGUUGUAUGUGCCAUGUGGUACGAGAUAAACAGUAGGUAUAUAUAUUCACAUUAGUAACAUCUGUUUGUGUGUUUCUAGGAUUGUGGAACUAUUUAAUAUGAAAAUAUUUGCCUA